GACAUACGCUUCUAUUGGCUGUUUUUCGUGGGCACAAACCACAUUUUAAGGCAAUAUUUCGGCGCGUUGUCAGCGAUAGCGGUGUUUUGUUGUCACCCACCCUGUUUACUGAUAUUUACCGUUAUUUAACUAAUAAUGCCGAUGUAAAAUCGAUGUCUAAGGGGGUCUUUGCAGUAAAGUUGAAUCAAGAGCUUCCUGAUGUGGAGCAUUUCUAAUUGAGGUUGCAGAGUUAGUACACGGUGAUAUUGGAAACCCGCCUUGCCAGUGGACCCAGAGACAGCCCAGAGACAACCAGGGGGGAAAUUAGGCAGAGUUCAGCAGCAGCACACUGCAGCACGGGGAGGGUGGAACACAAACCGAGGCUUUGUCUCCUGGCUGUUUCCUGGUUUACGCCAGGUGGUCUCCUACUCUGGGUAAAAG